AUGUGUGCAUGCUGUGUCUGCAGGGUCUAUGUGCACACAUCAGCCUGGGGAAGAGCGCAGGAGUGUGAUUUGCCACAUACUGUCUGCGUGUUAAAGUUUGCAGGGCUGGGAGAGGCGGGAUCCCCCAUGGAAGCUGGAGACACAGCUGCAGGAGAGGGCUCUGGGAAGGGGGAGAAGCAAGCUGGCUUCACCGCCCCCUCCAGCCCUUCACCACCUCCCGAGGCUGAGUCCAGUGGGAAGCCAGGGACCAGCGCCUGUGAGAGACAGCCUGCAGCCACCCCGCUGGAAAGGAAGGGUCUGAGGAGCACUGUGGGGUGUGGGCCGGGCACAUGUGUGUGCGUAGAUGCACAUGGACUAUGAGUGUAAAUGGAAAUGUGUUCGUAUACCUGUGUGUUCAUACCUGCAUAGGCAGAUCACAGCUUGCAAACAAUGGUACCAGUAAUGAAACCUGGCAUUUAUCAGAUUUUUACCAUGUUCCAGGUGCUGUGCCUUCUGUAAAUAGGCGCUUGUUCAAAGACUCACACAACCCUGUGGGCUAAUUACAGCUGCUGUCCUCCUAGUCAAAAACACAGGAACAGAGAGCGCGGGUAACUUACCCAACAUCUCACAGCAGGGCUCAGGCCAACAUUGUGGCUGCUGUUGGAGGAGGCAUCCCGACUGCAUCCUGGGGCAGGGCUUGGAGACAUCCAGAGCCUCACUCUGCCUGCCCAGGGAGCUCCCUGGGGGGAAGACAGCCCCAGGUGCAAUAGCUGCAGCGUAUUCCCCACUACUGGCCUGGAGGGGCCCAGGGACACCAGAUCAGGGGCUAAACCAGUAAGGGGGCUGUGAGCCUGUGAGGUAGGUAAGACCAACCUUGCCCCAGACACUCCCCCCAGCCCAGUCCUUCCACAGCCACUGCCACCCCAGGUGCAUGUGCAGCACUGCAGGUGCCGAGGGAGGGGCAGGGGCAGCAGCAGGAAGGGGCACAGUGGUCACUUUGAUCACUGCAGCAGAAGGUGCAUCACUGUGACCUGGGAGGGCAUGUUUCUUUUUCUUUUGUUUUGGUAGCACUGAGGAUGGAAUCCAGGACCUGGCACCUGGUAGGCACUCACUGUACCACUGAGUGACAUCCCCAGCCCUUCCUACUGUUAUUUUGAGACAGCAUCUUGCUAAGUUGCCUAAAUUGGCCUUGAAUUUGCAGUCCUCCUGCCUCAGCCUCCUGAGUAGCUGGGAUUACAGGUAUCUGCCAUGGUACCCAGUAGCAUGAAAAGGUACGUAAACAAAAAACCAAAAUCCCACAAACUCCCUCUGAAUACUAUUUAUCAGAGGCAUCAGCUUUUUCUCAAGGGCACACAUGAAUUGAAGAUAAAGCACAGACAAAAUGCACUUGGAUGCACCUAAGAAAGCUGGGGUGCCUAUAUUGGUAAGAGACAGUACUUCGAGGCCAGUAUUCUGAGUGAUUAUGGGGAGCUUUUCAGAUUAUAAAAAGGACAACUCACAGGAAGACUUCAGAGCUCUUCCCCUAACAAGAGCUUCAAAAUGUCCAGAUCCAGGCUGGCAGAACGGAGAAAGGAAGUGGCAGAGUCCACAGCCAUCUGGGAGAUGAGAGAGUCACACAGGUGCCCAGCAGUCUUGACACUGACCUAAGAACUGAGUUCGUGUCUCAUGUACACAGGUGCCAUGUCCGGGCUGUUGGUCUAGGCGCCUGCCCCAUCUCUUCAGCUCUUUGUUCAUAGCCCAGCGCUAAGACAAGAAUAUUUGGAGCCGAGGUACCACAGCCACACAGACCCAGCCUGGUUCUGAGCCCUGCUGAGAGCUGCAAGUGGCUUCUGAAUCUUGAAGCCACUUUCCUCAUCUGGAAAAUGGAGAUACUGACAGUGGAAGUGGCCAUGCUUAGCACUCAGUAGUAGGGUGCAGGAGGCUCCAAUGUGGUCCCUUCAGACCUGCUGCUGCUAUACAACUGUCAGCCCUUGGCCCAGGGCACUCCCCUGGCAACCCCAUAGGCUCACGUGAGCCUUAGUGUCACCACUCAGGGAGCCCAGGUAUUAACAUUUGUCCUCAGUGACCUCCAGGUUGGACCCAGUCCAUUUCCUCUUGGGCUUCGAGGCAGGCAGCAAAGAGACAUCAAUGGUCAGUUGUGGACCAGGCCUCUGGGGGGCCCAGGAGCACGGGUCAGAAGGGCUGUGUUGAGGAAGUGAGGCCACAGCCAAGGUAAGAGGCUGAGCUGAGCUGGAAGGCUGGAGCAACUGCUUGUGAGGACGGUGUUUACUCAGAUGGCAGAAUGCUGGACGUGGCCUGGAUGCCAGCCAUGGGGGUACAGCAGACACAGCACCAUCCAUGUGUCCAUCCACAAUGCUCCACUGUUCCCAGUGGCAGCGAGUGUAUCAACAUGACUCUGUCCACUCUUGGAUCAAAAGAAUUUCCUGCAUGCGUAAAAAUGUGUGCACACCCAAAAAGAAAUGCCAGAGAUUUAUGCACCAGAAUGUCACCAUGCUUUUCUCUGGGGGACAGGAUUAGGAGUGUGUUUUUCUAAGUGACUGUUAUUUUCUGUUUUAAACAGACCUGUCAUUUUUUUGUAAGUAGCCCCAGGCUGGAAGCCCCCUUGCCCCAGUGUAGACAGAAGAUGUGGCCCCAUGGGCCUGUGGACGGUCAUCCUCUCAUCCAGGGCACCCAGACAUGAGCUGCUGGUGCACAGGGCUCUUGUUCAACCCCAGACAGUACCUGGGUCACUUGAGGUGCUUUUCCUGCCUGCUGCAGGAUGUGGUGGGGGCACAUAUCUUGCUGACAAGGAGAAAUGGGGAGAAGGGUGGGGCAGAGGCCUAGAGUGCCCUGAGGGACCCCGCCGCCAUUGGGACCACCGUAGCAGGAGAGUAAGUGUGGGCUCUGAGAACCUGUUGUGUGCCAUUGCCCUCCCCCCACACUGCUGGGAAAGGCCUGCCUUAGAGUAGCGUGCAGGUCAGCAGAAGAUGGACCAGGGUAAAAAUAGAUUCUGCAGGGGUUGAGAGCCCUUGCCCAAUACCCACAUCUUCAAGGAGGAGAGGUUUGUUUUGACUUGUGGUUACAUCCCAUGGCAGGAACCAUGCUGGAGGGGCCUGAGCAGAGGAGAGCAGCUCACAGCAUGGCUGCCAGGAAGCAGAGAGCAGAGGGAGAGCUAGGGAGGGAGCUGCACCCGCUAGGCCACCUCCUGACAGCACUUUUCACAGCACCUCAUGAUCCCUUCAGCCUUCAACAAGCCCCACCUCUGAGCACAGCAGAGUUUGGGGGCCUAACACCCUGGCUUUGCUCCCCAGCACUGAAGGAGAAAACGUAACCCUGCAGAAUCAAAGGCCUGCAGAAAAGUAGCAGGGCAGGCCUGCCUGUGGAGGUGACUGGGCUGUUGGUGCCAGCCUCCUCCGUGUUGGGGUUCCCACCCCAGACCCAGGUGAGCGGAGAUCAACACCAAGUUGCUCUUAAGAAAAAGC
rnacentral:lncRNA from 1 species